rnacentral:rRNA from 1 species
GACGAACGCUGGCGGCGUGCCUAACACAUGCAAGUGGAGCGACGAACCAGACUUCGGUCUGGGGCCAAGCCGCGAACGGGUGAGUAACACGUGGGUAACCUGCCCCAAUGAUCGGGACAACCCGGGGAAACCCGGGCUAAUACCGAAUGUGGUCGCGGUCCGUGAGGACUGUGACGAAAGGAAGCUUCGGCCUCCGCAUUGGGAUGGGCCCGCGGCCCAUUAGCUUGUUGGUGGGGUAAUGGCCUACCAAGGCAUCGAUGGGUAGCUGGUCUGAGAGGACGAUCAGCCACACUGGGACUGAGACACGGCCCAGACUCCUACGGGAGGCAGCAGUGGGGAAUCUUGCGCAAUGCGCGAAAGCGUGACGCAGCAACGCCGCGUGGGGGAAGAAGGCUUUCGGGUCGUAAACCCCUUUCAGUUGGGACGAAGCUUCGCCGGUGAAUAGCCGGCCGGAGUGACGGUACCUUCACAAGAAGCCCCGGCUAACUACGUG